GACGAACGCUGGCGGCGUGCCUAAUACAUGCAAGUUGAGCGAUGAAGAUUGGUGCUUGCACCAAUUUGAAGAGCAGCGAACGGGUGAGUAACGCGUGGGGAAUCUGCCUUUGAGCGGGGGACAACAUUUGGAAACGAAUGCUAAUACCGCAUAACAACUUUAAACAUAAGUUUUAAGUUUGAAAGAUGCAAUUGCAUCACUCAAAGAUGAUCCCGCGUUGUAUUAGCUAGUUGGUGAGGUAAAGGCUCACCAAGGCGAUGAUACAUAGCCGACCUGAGAGGGUGAUCGGCCACAGUGGGACUGAGACACGGCCCAAACUCCUACGGGAGGCAGCAGUAGGGAAUCUUCGGCAAUGGACGAAAGUCUGACCGAGCAACGCCGCGUGAGUGAAGAAGGGUUUCGGAUCGUAAAAAUCUGUUGGUAGAGAAGAACGUUGGUGAGAGUGGAAAGCUCAUCAAGUGACGGUAACUACCCAGAAAGGGACGGCUAACUACGUG
rnacentral:rRNA from 1 species